rnacentral:rRNA from 1 species
AUUCCAGCUCCAAUAGCGUAUAUUAAAAUUGUUGCCGUUAAAAAGCUCGUAGUCGAACUUCGGGCUCUGUCAGCCGGUCCGCCUUCUUGGUGUGUACUUGUUUGAUGGAGCCUUACCUCCUGGUGAACGGCGAUGUCCUUUACUGGGUGUCGUCGCAAACCAGGACUUUUACUUUGAAAAAAUUAGAGUGUUCAAAGCAGGCCUUUGCCCGAAUACAUUAGCAUGGAAUAAUAAAAUAGGACGCGCGUUCCCAUUUUGUUGGUUUCUGAGAUCGCCGUAAUGAUUAAUAGGGAUAGUUGGGGGCAUUUGUAUUCCGUCGUCAGAGGUGAAAUUCUUGGAUUGCCGGAAGACAAACUACUGCGAAAGCAUUUGCCAAGGAUGUUUUCAUUA